AUGAAGCAGUUGAAGCCUGAGCUGGCUUUGAGGAAGAACAAACAUGUGCCUCUUGCAAGGAAUUCCAAUGUUGGUGUUGUUGCUACUACACCAGCAGCAAGAACUUCUCAUCUAGCCCCUACAACAACACCAACAGCUGGAACAAGAGGUGCUGGGAGAGGAGCUGGGAGAGGUGCUGCUGGGAGAGGUGCUGGUAGAGGUGUUGCAUCAGGUGCUGGGAGAGGUGCUGGGAGAGGGAGAGGUACAUUCUCUGCCCCAAGGCAAUCUGGCCCCUCCACAUCUACUGCUCCCUCCACAUCUACUGCUGGGAGAGGUGCUGGUGGUAGACAUAGUGGAUGGAGGAGCUACUUCUAUGCAAGUGGUAACUAG
rnacentral:rRNA from 1 species